rnacentral:rRNA from 1 species
AACGAACGCUGGCGGCAGGCUUAACACAUGCAAGUCGAACGCCCCGCAAGGGGAGUGGCAGACGGGUGGGUAACGCGUGGGAAUCUACCUAGUUCUACGGAACAACUGAGGGAAACUUCAGCUAAUACCGUAUACGCCCUAUGGGGGAAAGAUUUAUCGGAAUUAGAUGAGCCCGCAUAAGAUUAGCUAGUUGGUGAGGUAAUGGCUCACCAAGGCGACGAUCUUUAGCUGGUCUGAGAGGAUGAUCAGCCACACUGGGACUGAGACACGGCCCAGACUCCUACGGGAGGCAGCAGUGGGGAAUAUUGGACAAUGGGCGCAAGCCUGAUCCAGCCAUGCCGCGUGAGUGAUGAAGGCCUUAGGGUUGUAAAGCUCUUUCAGCUGGGAAGAUAAUGACUGUACCAGCAGAAGAAGCCCCGGCUAACUCCGUGCCAGCAGCCGCCGUAAGAC